CCUGGCGGCCUUAGCGCGGUGGUCCCACCUGACCCCAUGCCGAACUCAGAAGUGAAACGCCGUAGCGCCG
rnacentral:rRNA from 3 species